rnacentral:rRNA from 1 species
AACGAACGCUGGCGGCGUGGAUAAGACAUGCAAGUCGAACGGGAUUACUUUUGGUAGCAAUACCGAAAGUAAUUCAGUGGCGAACGGGUGCGUAACACGUGGGCAAUCUGCCGAAAAGUGGGGGAUAGCUCGCCGAAAGGCGAAUUAAUACCGCAUGUGGUGAGGGACGACAUCUUCCUGAAUCCAAAGCCGGGGCAACCUGGCGCUUUUUGAGGAGCCCGCGGCCUAUCAGCUAGNGGCGGGGUAACGGCCCACCAAGGCUAUGACGGGUAGCUGGUCUGAGAGGACGACCAGUCACACUGGAACUGAGACACGGUCCAGACACCUACGGGUGGCAGCAGUCGAGAAUUUUUCUCAAUCGGGGGAAACCCUGAAGGAGCGACGCCCGCGUGGAGGAUGAAGGCUUUUCGGUUGUAAACUCCUGUCAUUUGAGAACAAGUGCCAACAAGUAACUACUGUUGGUCUUGAUAGUAUCAGAAGAGGAAGGGACGGCUAACUCUGU